UACGAAGGGGGGCUAGCGUUGCUCGGAAUCACUGGGCGUAAAGCGCACGUAGGCGGACUCUUAAGUCAGGGGUGAAAUCCUGGAGCUCAACUCCAGAACUGCCUUUGAUACUGACGAUCUCGAGUCCGGGAGAGGUGAGUGGAACUGCGAGUGUAGAGGUGAAAUUCGUAGAUAUUCGCAAGAACACCAGUGGCGAAGGCGGCUCACUGGCCCGGUACUGACGCUGAGGUGCGAAAGCGUGGGGAGCAAACAG
rnacentral:rRNA from 1 species